AUGCAUGUGCACAGUUCGAUGGGCCGUGGAGUUACAGAAGGUGGUAUUGUGAAGGACAUGAAGAGGAUAUUAUCACUCAGCUAUUAUGAUUUGCCUUCGCAUCUGAAGGCUUGUUUGUUAUACCUAAGCAUCUUUCCUGAAGACUUUGAGAUUAACAGAGAUUUGCUGAUAUGGAGGUGGCUUGCUGAAGGGUUUAUCCAAUGUGACAAAGAUGAAACCAGGCUGUUUGAGAUCGGAAAGAGCUACUUCAACGAGCUUAUGAACAGGAGCUUGAUCCAGCCAGCGGAAACCAAUUAUGAAGGAACAGUAGUAACUUGCCGUAUACAUGAUAUGGUGCUUGACCUUAUAUGCUCGCUGUCAAGUGAGGAGAAUUUUAUCUCCAUAUUGGAUAAUGCGGAGUGGAAUGCACCUAAUCGGCAAAGAAAUUUCGCAGGUUAUCACUUCAUAAUAUCAAGGCAAAGGUUCAGAACCAUCAGAUUGAAAGCACUAGCCUGUCAAAAGUGA
rnacentral:rRNA from 1 species